CGGCCGCGGUAUCUUGACCGUGCAAAGGUAGCAUAAUCACUUGUCUCUUAAAUGGGGACCCGUAUGAAUGGCUUUUCAUCCUUUAACUGUCUCCCUUUUUUUCCACACAAACUCCUAUUUACGUGAAGAAGCGUACUUCAGAGAGAAAGACGAGAAGACCCUGUCGAGCUUUAGCCUACCCUACUCACUUACACUCAUCCUUCCCCAGGAAAAAACCUCUGUAGGCCAGGCUUUGGUUGGGGCAACCAUGGAGAAAAAAUAUCCUCCAGUUUUCUAGGAAGAGAAUCAGCUCUCCUUCCCCAUUUUUGAGAACCAAUACUUUUGGGAAACGGAAAAAGUUACCGCAGGGAUAACAGCGUUAUCUUUUCUAAGAGCCCUUAUUGACGAAAAGGAUUGCGACCUCGAUGUUGGAUUGGGGUAACCAGAGGGUGCAGCAGCUCU
rnacentral:rRNA from 1 species